AUUGAACGCUGGCGGCAUGCUUUACACAUGCAAGUCGAACGGUAACAGGCCUUCGGGUGCUGACGAGUGGCGAACGGGUGAGUAAUGCAUCGGAACGUACCCAGAGGUGGGGGAUAACGCAGCGAAAGCUGUGCUAAUACCGCAUGUGAUCUGAGGAUGAAAGCGGGGGACCGAGCAGCAAUGUUUGGCCUCGCGCCUUUGGAGCGGCCGAUGUCGGAUUAGCUAGUUGGGGGGGUAAAGGCCUACCAAGGCGACGAUCCGUAGCUGGUCUGAGAGGACGGCCAGCCACACUGGGACUGAGACACGGCCAAGAGUCCUACGGGAGGCAGCAGUGGGGAAUUUUGGACAAUGGGCGCAAGCCUGAUCCAGCAAUGCCGCGUGCGGGAAGAAGGCCUUCGGGUUGUAAAGCGCUUUUGGCAGGAACGAAACGGUGUCCGCUAAUACCGGGCGCUAAUGACGGUACCUGCAGAAUAAGCACCGGCUAACUACGUG
rnacentral:rRNA from 1 species